GAUCACACACUACAUGUCUCCUCCAAAGGAUGUGGAGGCCUCUGUAGCUCCUUGCUUAGCAAAUUGCAAGGCAGGGCCAAGUUUUGUGGGAUGGGUUUAGUUCCAGAUCUACCUACACCUCCUCUGUCUUGUGAAGAAGUCUGCAAGCAAGCAGCAGCAGGCGCACGGGAGAAAGCCCUGGAGAAGGGCAGCUCAGCUGUGUAUAUCCCUGCCUGCCUCCUGAACUCCAUCAGAGGCCAGCGGCAUGCAAGCCUGCACCUUUCCCAGUCCUCAGAUCACACCUCGCAUAUUGCAGCCCCAGAUGCUGCCCACCUAAGGCAGCCAGAGAAUGUCACCUCCUGGCUGGGACUAGACCCUUUCAGCAGUGGGCAAUCAACAGGGUAUAUUGCCUUCACACGGCUUGAGCUGCAUUGCUGGUGGCAGCAGCAAGCACUCCCUGCCUCCUUGCAGGUGUAAUCAGCCAGGCAGCUCAAAAGAAGAAAACUGCCUUCAGCUCACUAAAUUGUACCUGCAGCCCUUUUACCCAAAUUAGAGUCUCAGCAGAGACCUGUUUUUCAUGGGAUUUUCCCAGAAGCUUUAUUGCUCUUUUUCUUUAAUACGGAAGAUUUUAAAGGGUGCUGCAA